rnacentral:rRNA from 1 species
AUUGAACGCUGGCGGCAUGCCUUACACAUGCAAGUCGAACGGUAGAGUAGCAAUACUUGAGAGUGGCGAACGGGUGAGUAAUAUAUCGGAACGUGCCCAGUCGUGGGGGAUAACGUAGAGAAAUUUACGCUAAUACCGCAUACGAUCUAAGGAUGAAAGCGGGGGAUUCGCAAGAACCUCGCGCGAUUGGAGCGGCUGAUAUCAGAUUAGGUUGUUGGUGAGGUAAAAGCUCACCAAGCCGACGAUCUGUAGCUGGUUUGAGAGAACGACCAGCCACACUGGGACUGAGACACGGCCCAGACUCCUACGGGAGGCAGCAGUGGGGAAUUUUGGACAAUGGGCGAAAGCCUGAUCCAGCAAUGCCGCGUGCAGGAAG